CAGUCGCCGCGGGAAUACGUAGGUGGCAAGCGUUGUCCGGAAUUAUUGGGCGUAAAGCGCGCGCAGGCGGCUUCCCAAGUCCCUCUUAAAAGUGCGGGGCUUAACCCCGUGAUGGGAAGGAAGCUGGGAAGCUGGAGUACCGGAGAGGAAAGUGGAAUUCCUAGUGUAGCGGUGAAAUGCGUAGAUAUUAGGAAGAACACCAGUGGCGAAGGCGGCUUUCUGGACGAAAACUGACGCUGAGGCGCGAAAGCUAGGGGAGCGAACGGGAUUAGAGACCCCAGUAGUCCCUGUCUCUUAUACA
rnacentral:rRNA from 1 species